GACGAACGCUGGCGGCACGCUUAACACAUGCAAGUCGAACGAGAGAAGAGAAGCUUGCUUUUCUGAUCUAGUGGCGGACGGGUGAGUAGCACGUGAGCAAUCUGCCUUUCAGAGGGGGAUACCGAUUGGAAACGAUCGUUAAUACCGCAUAACAUAAUUGAACCGCAUGAUUUGAUUAUCAAAGAUUUAUCGCUGAAAGAUGAGCUCGCGUCUGAUUAGCUAGUUGGUAAGGUAACGGCUUACCAAGGCGACGAUCAGUAGCCGGACUGAGAGGUUGAUCGGCCACAUUGGGACUGAGACACGGCCCAGACUCCUACGGGAGGCAGCAGUGGGGAAUAUUGCACAAUGGAGGAAACUCUGAUGCAGCGAUGCCGCGUGAGGGAAGAAGGUUUUAGGAUUGUAAACCUCUGUCUUCAGGGACGAAAAAAGACGGUACCUGAGGAGGAAGCUCCGGCUAACUACGUG
rnacentral:rRNA from 1 species